AAAUUAGACGACGAAGACAUUGUUUCUUAUAUUCUUGCAGGUCUCGAUGAUGAAUUUGAUUCAGUGGUGUCCGCCGUCGGCGCACGGGUGGAACCCAUCUCUGUUGGCGAGUUAUUCUCUCAACUUGUCAGCUUUGAGC
rfam:Oryza brachyantha chromosome 11, whole genome shotgun sequence.